rnacentral:rRNA from 1 species
ACCCGCGACAAGCAGCGGAGCAUGUGGUUUAAUUUCGAAGCAACGCGAAGAACCUUACCAGAUCUUGACAUCCAAUUGACCAUCUUUUAAUCGUAGAUUUUGCCUUCGGGUACAAUUGAGACAGGUGAUGCAUGGUUGUCGUCAGCUCGUGUCGUGAGAUGUUGGGUUAAGUCCCGCAACGAGCGCAACCCUUGUGUUUAGUUUGCAAACAGGUCAAGCUGUGCACUCUAGACAGACUGCCGUGGACAACACGGAGGAAGUGGGGAUGACGUCAAGUCCUCAUGGCCCUUACGGGCUGGGCUACACACGUGCUACAAUGGUGGUGACAGUGGGCAGCGAGCACGCGAGUGUGAGCUAAUCUCCAAAAGCCAUCUCAGUUCGGAUUGCACUCUGCAACUCGAGUGCAUGAAGUUGGAAUCGCUAGUAAUCGCGGAUCAGCAUGCCGCGGUGAAUACGUUCCCGGGCCUU